rnacentral:rRNA from 1 species
UCUGGUGAUUCGACGCGGUGGAACCACCUCUUCCCAUUCCGAACAGAGAAGUUAAACGCUGUAGUGCCGAUGAUAGUCCUUCGGGGCGAAAGUAGGUAGUCGCCAGAA